ACUCAAAUGAAUUGACGGGGACCCGCACAAGCAGCGGAGCGUGUUGUUUAAUUCGAAGAUACUCGAAGAACCUUACCAAGACUUGACAUCCUCUGACCGCCGUAGAAAUACGGUUUUCGUAGCAAUACGACAGGGAGACAGGUGGUGCAUGGUUGUCGUCAGCUCGUGUCGUGAGAUGUUGGGUUAAGUCCCGCAACGAGCGCAACCCCUACGAUUAGUUGCCAAUAUUAAGUUAGGAACUCUGAUCGGACUGCCGUGGAUAUAACACGGAGGAAGGCGGGGAUGACGUCAAAUCAUCAUGCCCCUUACGUCUUGGGCUACAAACGCGCUACAAUGGCGAUUACAAAGAGCAGCGAAGCCGUGAGGCAGAGCAAAUCUCAAAAAAGUCGUCUCAGUUCGGAUUGUGGGCUGCAACCCGCCCACAUGAAGUUGGAGUUGCUAGUAAUCCCGAAUCAGCAUGUCGGGGUGAAUGCGUUCCCGGGUCUUGUACACACCGCCCGU
rnacentral:rRNA from 1 species